AUCGCUUCUCGGCCUUUUGGAAAAGAUCAAGUGUAGUAUCUGUUCUUAUCAGUUUCCGCCAGUGGAUGGGAAACGCCGGUGUUGGACUGGUGGGGAUGGGUGCUGCAUGGAGGGGGCAGGUUUACCAGGGUGUUCUGGGGCUGGUUCUGAGGAAUCAGCUCAACGGCUGCCGUGAUGUGACCUGUU